rnacentral:lncRNA from 1 species
GUUAAUAUUACAUUUGCAAAUCAUCAUUAGGGCCAGGUCUGAGCUGAGCUGAGGGCUGAUUUUGUGUCUGUGUGCUGAGAUCUAUAGAUUCACUAUAUUAAAUAUGCUUUAUUGCUGCUUCGAGGGAGGAGCUGGUUUCAACAGAGGAUGAGAUUCCUUUCUCUAGAUCCUCAUGAAGAGGAGUGCGUGGCCAGGAGUGAGUGGAAUUUGUCCCUUUGUUCUGCAAACGCGCUGUGCUUCAGAGGAGAUGUCUUCCUGUCCUCACCAAGGGAGUGGUGAAUUCUGCCUCCUUCUUUCUGUCCAUAAGGGGGUCAUGCCUUCCAGUGAACUUCAUGUCAUCUAAAUUCCUUCGUCCUUUAAUAAGGUCGGACCAUCCUCUAUGACCUUCUUUCUUCCUGAUGUCCAGUUGCUCAACUUGUUAUGACAAGAACUGAAUUUCUCCUAGAGAUUUAGUAUACAGUGAACACUACAUCUCUGGAAGAGAAGCAAAAGGAGGAGGAGGAGGAGGGCAAGAUGGACUCAGUGUGGCUGGGAGAGAUGCCGGGAACCAGCUGCAUAGGCAGAGUGCUUUGAAAUAUCUUUUUCACUCCAUGCUAAAAUUCAGUUUCCACGAUUUUACAAUAAAGGAGCUUGGCUGCAUGAACAACCAGCUUUACAUAUCAAUAUAGGCUCACAAAUUUAGGGACUAAAAUUGAGGUAGAGAGAGAGACAGAGAGAAAGAGAGAGCGAGAGAAACAGUUGAUCCUCACUGCACCCUGCGGCUCACCAUCCUCAUGAGUGAUGUCUCCAUGGAAGUAAGCCUAGAAACCCAGUGAGGCAAUAUCUGGGCUGGAUUUCUGGAGCCCUUGCUGACUUAGGAUGAAUGUGCUCAUCAGAUGCAUUGCCAGCAUGGGGUCCGUACCUGGGACUCAGGCCACCAUGCAGGACAAAAGGCAAAUCACACCAGGAGCCCACACUCGACCAGUGCCCAUCCUACCCUGUAAAGGAUCUGGAGAAUGUUGCUGUUCUCAGCCAUAGGACCAACAACACCUACGUGAACAUCAUGUUCAAAUCCAUCCAGGACCUGGCUGGUUCCAGGAAAACAAAAACAAAAUAAGCUCCAAUGCCACAUUCAACUCUCAAAUGCCAGAGUCAGGUUGGACUUGUUUGGAGUCACCUCUUUUCUGGCACGCUGACAUCUUUGGGAUGAGCUCAGCUCAGAAAACACCUUAGAAAACUCCUUUCCUCUUCUCUGGUGAUUAAUCAAGGGUUUUCCUUUCCAGACACUGUGUGGCUUCAGUCUCCUCCUUCCAAGUGCAUAGGAAUCCCGAAUGCCCUCUGAAGCUUAAUGCAUCUUAAUCAGUAAAAAGAAUGAUCAUUAGGAAUCAUAGCCAUAAAACUGAAGCCACUUAAUCAGCACCCUGAUACAGUGUGCACACUUAAUUACGAUGAUUGCCAAGACUGGAUUCAUUGUCAUGCAUGUUAACGACUUGCCUUGGUAGCUAACUGAUAUCUGAGAUGACUCUAGUGUAAAAUGGAGCUCCAGCUAGCCAGCUUCCAUGGAAGGCUCCAGGUGCCAACAGACGGUCCCCUUCCUCAAGAGGACCGUUGGGCAUUUCUCAGAGAUACUCAGGCAGCCCUGCUAUGGAAGAACAAGGAUGGCCAUCAGACUUUCAGAGGAGAAAUUCAAACCCCACACCAUACGAGCCGUCAGAAUGGAAUAUAGAUUUCUUAUUUAGAGACCUGCUUUCCUCCUCUGCAAGAUGACUUCACAAGGACAAUUUUUCCUGCACUUUGUGGAGUUUUCCACCAGGAUUGACCUAUAGCCAUCAAAAAACAGAAAUGUGAACUCUAAACAAAGAUACCAAGCCUCUGCGGUAAACUUUACUCAUAGUGAAGGGCAAGAUGGGUCCAAGGCUUCAGACUAAAGAGAAGAGUUCCAGAGUUUCAGCAGGAGGCAUUGUUUGGCUUCUGUCAAGACUCACAUUUUGAAUUUUGAUUAGUAGAAAAUUACAAAGUCUUGCUCAAGUCUUGUCUUCAUUAAAUGGUAAGAGCUCUUCUCAUAGAAUUUUCUCCUAGCUUUCUAUAUCAAAUCUGCAAAGCUUCAAGGCAGGGAAGAAUAUGUUACAGGUAUUCUCACUAUCUUUACACAAAGUUAUGAACAAACAUAUUUGUUGGUUUGACUUUUUAUGUUUCAAUCCCCCGGGUGAUUUUGAGGCAGAUGUUGGAUGUCUGGACUUCGAUAAACCUAGUGGUAAUGCACCGGGCUGUGACUCCAGAAAGGAAUUUUCUGAACCCCAGAAGUAAACAGUGUGGGACAGCAGGCUGCUCUGCCCUCAUGGAGCACUGCAGGAAGCUAGCUUCUGAGUCAGCCCUCACUGCAAAACCUGGGAGCUGCCCUUCUUGUCCUGUCUGUCUCAGACAAAUGUGGGACAUGGACUUGCCUAAUUAAGCUCUAGUGGCAGACAGGAACCCCUGGCCUCUCCACUGCCAUUUUCUUCUCUUCUUCUUUGAUGUGGCUUGAUAAGUCCCACUCCUUUCUUCUCCCUACCUCUCCCCAAAAUCUGCAGUUUCGAAAAAUCAGUGUGGGCUGUGCUCACAGGGAAGCCACAGCACACAUACUCUGGUGUCUUCAGAGGAAAUUCCUUUUCUGGCCCUGUGUCUAGAAGGGUUUUUUUUUUGUCAAUAUUGCAGGGAUCUCUAGGGUUUGCUCUCCAGAUACUAGACUUAGUGUACAUCCUGGUUGUGUGUGUCCAAAUCAUAAAUGGCAGAUUAACUCAGGUACAAACCCCAAAGAUUGGACUAAAUGGAUAGUUGGAACCAAACCUAGAGACACAAACAAGACAUUUCUGUUGAACUUAUGAAAUGUAGCCUCAGGUGUGUAACUUUUAGGUUAUUUCAGUUUCUCACUUGAAAAUUAGACACAGUCCCUAAGUGAGUACUGCUUCUAGCAUCUGAGUGUCAUGGUGCUAAAACCACCUUGAUCUGGGUUGAGAUGUUAUAGGUACUUGCUGUCAUUAAGAGAAACUUGAUUUCUUCCCUUAAUCCAGCAUCAAGUCCCCUGGCACAGUUUCCUUGGACGCUUGCUUCAUUGAGACAGAGGGAAUCCAUUAGAGCAAGCACCUCCUGCAUGCCACAGGAGCCAGCGAGGCCCAGAGGGGACAGUGCUGAUGAACGCUGGAGAGAGUUCACCCAAGGGCACUCCAUGUCCUGCUCUAAAGGCAGGUGGGGCAGCGAUUACCAGGGGAUUUCUUAGGCAGGAAUCAGCCAGACUAAUAACACAAAUGUAUAGGCCUGUAAGCCCAGAGAGCAGUCUGUUGACAAGCAAAGAUGCAAAUGCGCUGAAACACUGCUUCUGACCUGCGAUCCUCAGGCUGUGAGUGGACAGCUGUAAAAUGCAAUAAUCCUGACAUCACAGUA